GACGUAGGAAGCAAGCGUUGUCCGGAAUUACUGGGCGUAAAGAGCUCGUAGGCGGGAUCGUAAGUCUUAGAGUAAAUCUCACGGCUCAACCGUGGGGCCUUCUGAGAUACUGCGAUUCUUGAGGAUGUCAGAGGAAAGUGGAACUCCCGGUGUAGCGGUGAAAUGCGUAGAUAUCGGGAGGAACACCAGUGGCGAAGGCGACUUUCUGGGACAUUCCUGACGCUGAGGAGCGAAAGCGUGGGAGCAAACGGGAUUAGAUACCCCGGUAGUCCACGCGGUAAACGAUGGAUAUUAGGUGUGGGAGGUAUCGACUCCUUCCGUGCCGUCGCUAACGCAUUAAAUAUCCCGCCUGGGGAGUACGGUCGCAAGGCUGAA
rnacentral:rRNA from 1 species